AACGAACGCUGGCGGCAGGCCUAACACAUGCAAGUCGAACGCCCCGCAAGGGGAGUGGCAGACGGGUGAGUAACACGUGGGCACCUUCCCUAUAGUACGGAAUAGCCCAGGGAAACUUGGAGUAAUACCGUAUACGCCCGAAAGGGGAAAGAAUUUCGCUAUAGGAUGGGCCCGCGUAGGAUUAGCUAGUUGGUGAGGUAAUGGCUCACCAAGGCGACGAUCCUUAGCUGGUUUGAGAGAACGACCAGCCACACUGGGACUGAGACACGGCCCAGACUCCUACGGGAGGCAGCAGUGGGGAAUAUUGGACAAUGGGCGCAAGCCUGAUCCAGCCAUGCCGCGUGAGUGAUGAAGGCCUUAGGGUUGUAAAGCUCUUUUGGCGGGGACGAUAAUGACGGUACCCGCAGAAUAAGUCCCGGCUAACUUCGUG
rnacentral:rRNA from 1 species